rnacentral:rRNA from 1 species
UACGAGUGCCCCAAGCGUUAUCCGGAAUCAUUGGGCGUAAAGGGUGUGUAGGUGGCGUUGUUAGUCUUCUGUUAAAAUCUUGGGCUUAACCCAAGACUUGCAGUGGAAACGGCAAUGCUCGAGGAUGCGAGGGGUGAAUGGAACUCAUGGAGUAGGGGUGAAAUCCGUUGAUAUCAUGGGGAACACCAAAAGCGAAGGCAAUUCACUGGCGCAUUCCUGACACUGAAACACGAAAGCGUGGGUAGCGAACGGG